GUCGUCGUGGCCGACUGGUAAAGGCGACAGACUAGAAAUCUGUUGGGCUCUGCCCGCACAGGUUCGAAUCCUGUCGGCGACG
rnacentral:tRNA from 1 species